GACGAACGCUGGCGGCGCGCUUAACACAUGCAAGUCGAGCGAGAACCAGGCCUUCGGGCCUGGGGACAGCGGCGAACGGGUGAGUAACACGUGGGUAAUCUACCCUCGAUACUGGGAUAGCCCGGGGAAACCCGGAUUAAUACCGGAUAGCCUCUCGAGCUCUCGGGCUCGUGAGAAAAGGUAGCUUCGGCCUCCGAUCGAGGAUGAGCCCGCGGCGGAUUAGCUUGUUGGUGGGGUAAUGGCCUACCAAGGCGACGAUCCGUAGCUGGUCUGAGAGGACGAUCAGCCACACUGGGACUGAGACACGGCCCAGACUCCUACGGGAGGCAGCAGUGGGGAAUCUUGCCCAAUGGGCGCAAGCCUGAGGCAGCGACGCCGCGUGAGGGAAGAAGGCCCUAGGGUUGUAAACC
rnacentral:rRNA from 1 species